rnacentral:rRNA from 1 species
CGGGCGUAGCAAUACGUCAGUGGCAGACGGGUGAGUAACGCGUGGGAACGUACCUUUUGGUUCGGAACAACUGAGGGAAACUUCAGCUAAUACCGGAUAAGCCCUUACGGGGAAAGAUUUAUCGCCGAAAGAUCGGCCCGCGUCUGA